CCAACGGCCCUCUUUAGGGCCACAAACAAGUAAACCAAGUUAAAC
rfam:Ascaris lumbricoides genome assembly, scaffold: ALTE_scaffold0000346